GCCUUUGUAGCGCAAUGGCCAGCACACUCGGCUCGUAUUCGAGAGGUCCGAGGUUCGAAUCCCGGAGAGAGCA
rnacentral:tRNA from 1 species